UUUCCGUAGGUGAACCUGCGGAAGGAUCAUUACUGAGUGAGGGCCCCUCGGGGUCCAACCUCCCACCCGUGUUUAACGAACCUUGUUGCUUCGGCGGGCCCGCCUCACGGCCGCCGGGGGGCAUUUGCCCCCGGGCCCGCGCCCGCCGAAGCCACCUGUGAACGCUGUCUGAAGUAUGCAGUCUGAGACAAUUAUUAAAUUAAUUAAAACUUUCAACAACGGAUCUCUUGGUUCCGGCAUCGAUGAAACGCAGC
rnacentral:misc_RNA from 1 species